rnacentral:piRNA from 1 species
UCUUGGGAAAUGCAACAUUUGGGCAGGAAAU